rnacentral:rRNA from 1 species
AUUGAACGCUGGCGGCAUGCCUUACACAUGCAAGUCGAACGGCAGCACGGACUUCGGUCUGGUGGCGAGUGGCGAACGGGUGAGUAAUGUAUCGGAACGUACCUUUCAGUGGGGGGAUAACGUAGCGAAAGUUACGCUAAUACCGCAUAUUCUGUGAGCAGGAAAGCAGGGGAUCGCAAGACCUUGCGCUGAUUGAGCGGCCGAUAUCAGAUUAGCUAGUUGGUGGGGUAAAGGCCUACCAAGGCUACGAUCUGUAGCGGGUCUGAGAGGAUGAUCCGCCACACUGGAACUGAGACACGGUCCAGACUCCUACGGGAGGCAGCAGUGGGGAAUUUUGGACAAUGGGGGCAACCCUGAUCCAGCCAUGCCGCGUGAGUGAAGAAGGCC